rnacentral:pre_miRNA from 1 species
AUCACCUGGGGAUCUUAUUAAAAUGUAGAUUCUGAUUCAGUAGCUCUGAGUCAGGCCCGAGAUUCUGCGUUUCUGACAAAUUCCCUGGUGAUGCUGA